GAUGAACGCUGGCGGCGUGCCUAAUACAUGCAAGUCGAGCGAACGGACGAGAAGCUUGCUUUUCUGAUGUUAGCGGCGGACGGGUGAGUAACACGUGGAUAACCUACCUAUAAGACUGGGAUAACUUCGGGAAACCGGAGCUAAUACCGGAUAAUAUUUUGAACCGCAUGGUUCAAAAGUGAAAGACGGUCUUGCUGUCACUUAUAGAUGGAUCCGCGCUGCAUUAGCUAGUUGGUAAGGUAACGGCUUACCAAGGCAACGAUGCAUAGCCGACCUGAGAGGGUGAUCGGCCAUACUGGAACUGAGACACGGUCCAGACUCCUACGGGAGGCAGCAGUAGGGAAUCUUCCGCAAUGGGCGAAAGCCUGACGGAGCAACGCCGCGUGAGUGAUGAAGGUCUUCGGAUCGUAAAACUCUGUUAUUAGGGAAGAACAUAUGUGUAAGUAACUGUGCACAUCUUGACGGUACCUAAUCAGAAAGCCACGGCUAACUACGUG
rnacentral:rRNA from 1 species